rnacentral:misc_RNA from 1 species
GAUGAAGAACGCAGCGAAAUGCGAUAAGUAAUGUGAAUUGCAGAAUUCAGUGAAUCAUCGAAUCUUUGAACGCACAUUGCGCCCGCCAGUAUUCUGGCGGGCAUGCCUGUCUGAGCGUCAUUUCAACCCUCAUGCCCCUAGGGCGUGGUGUUGGGGAUCGGCCAAAGCCCGCGAGGGACGGCCGGCCCCUAAAUCUAGUGGCGGACCCGUCGUGGCCUCCUCUGCGAAGUAGUGAUAUUCCGCAUCGGAGAGCGAUGAGCCCCUGCCGUUAAACCCCCAACUUUCCAAGGUUGACCUCAGAUCAGGUAGGAAUACCCGCUGAACUUAAGCAUACCAAUAAGCGGAGGA